GUCUAAAAACGUAAUCAUAACCGAGCACUUCGGUUAUCAAAAAACCAUAACCAUUCGGUUUCGGUUAAUUGAGUUCGGUUAAGUUGAUCUUAAUACUAGGGUAUGUAUUCAGGCAUUACAUAAGGACUGAAAGAGACACGUGGAGUUCAUGAUUGGUGCCAUGGCAGAAGUGAUCAGGACGCAGCCUUAGCGCUAACAUUUCCUAAGAUACGAAUUCAAACUCGCAAUCUUGGGAAUCUUCUUGACAAAAGAAUUAUUGUUUCUGUUAUACAUGGGAUUGCCAAUUUAGAUACCCUUCCGGUCAUUAUGUUCGCACAAUAGGACAUACUGGUGAUCGGGAAACUGAAACAGAUGUUGUGAGGUUGUGCUAAUAGAAAAUGAUACAGAUGGAAGACCAUUUUCUUCACAAAGCCUUGGCAUGCCUGCCACCGUUACCCUGGUUAGUGUCCUCAUAAUAUUUGUCAAAUCCUAUAAGGUUUCUUCAUUUAUGCGUAUUUAAUGUGGACCCACCAGGUAAAAAAGGUAAUAUUCUUAAUGUGAAUUAAGGGCCAUUUAAGCAUAUUUAGUGUGGACCCAUUGGUGUUUCUAUUCCUUUGGGUUUUUUGUGUUUUGCGCUUUUAUGGUAUAUGUAGAAGAGAAAACAAACACAAGAAGGUUGGGAACUAUAUUAUGUUUAAGCACAUAUGCUGUUUUUGCAUACGCAUAUUGCCUUCAGGUAAUAUUGCCUUUUACAUUGCGGCUAGAGGCGACAACUUGAAUCCUUUGUUAUACAAAUGGGCUAUCUUUAAAUGAGUGCUCAUUCCAGCUCAAUAUACUAAAGUUGUUUACCCAAUCCGACCCAUUUUGCUCCUCUUCGGGUCAAGAUUGUCAGGUUUAAAUAAAUUCAUAUUAUCAUUUAGUUUCACCUGUAGUUUUUUUUUUAUUAUUUAUGGUUUUACUAAUUGGUGAAAGAAUGGGUUGAUUCUUGUGAUCCAUGUAGAUAAGAUAAUUAAGAUUGUAAAGCUUUUAAAUAAAAAUGUUCUCAUCACGAUGCAAAUAGUUGACACCCGGAUUUUUAACUCCUCACUGUUGUGGAUUGACUAACGGGUCAAGUCAAGGUGGAUGGAGUUGGGUUCACGAACGGACAUAGUGACUUCUUUUUCUUUUUGUAUAUAAAUUACAUACAUAGUUAGCAUGUUAAUUUGUUAAUGCAUUAUAAAGGAAAUAGCCAAAUGUGUCUUUCAUAAAUAUUUAUAGAUGCUUACAAGUUCCCGAAACCUUUUGUAUAAGAGACUUAGUCCUUAAAUUAAGGGUUCAUAUGUUAUAUUACCAUAUCUCACCUACAUGGCUACAUGAAAUGUAAACAAAUUUGUGUGAGAAAGGUUUAGAAGUCACAAUGAUAUCUAUGAUAUGUCUUUUAGGCUUGGAACUUAAACAUUCAUAUCUUUUAGCAUUCCUUUAUUUGCAUGGCAACAUAUUUGUUCAGAUACAUCGAUUCAGUACCAAGUAAUAAAGUAAAGUGUUGUUGAAGCAUUCUACCGGUUGCAGAACCUCGCAGAACAAAUUCAUGCUUAUGUUUUUUAUGUUGUUCGAGCACAGGCUCCAAGAAUGACUUUGGAUCAACUCUUUGAGCAAAAGAAUUAAGUUGCAAAAACUGUAUUGGAGGAACUUGAGAAGGUGAUGGUAGAAUAUGGGUGCAAAAUAAAUCACAUACUGAUGGCCGACAUCUUACCCGAUCCCUCUGUGCGUGGAGCAAUGAAUGAGAUCAAUGCAGUUACUUGACUACACACAUGCAGGGGGUGACCUUAGGAGAUGGUUUUGGAGAUGAUCCUAAUGUCACAACAAUUAUAUGAAAAUGGGAAGUAAAUUAUCUACUUGCUUGAUACUACUUAUCAAUUGUCACCGCCAAUAAUGUAUCACUGUAUGUAUGUUAAAAUCAAACAAACAUCAAGCUCGGUAAUAUACAAGCACCAGGGUUAAAAUCCCCAGUCUAGACUGGUUCGACUCGCUUGCUCAUAUGCUUGAGUAUCAUCAGAGUUUGGAUAUGAUGACAAGCGGUUCAUGUUACUGAUUAAUGUGGAAACAAGCUCCUAGGAUAAAGUCCCUGAUUGAAUCCAACGGCUAUAUACUAUUUGGCAUUUUUCAUCUGUUUCAAUUUGGUAUAUAUAUUAUAUAAAUUGGGAUUUUACAGUUCUGUCUUCAUAUCUAUUACUAAUUACUAAUUGGUAUAUUUUCAAAUUAGUUAAAUGCACUUGAAAACUUAUUGAAUUAAUUUUUUUCAUUUAAUUUUGAUUAAAUCUGAACAAAUUCAAAGUAUUUUCUCUUGGUGUGGUUUCCAUGUUGCAAGAUUAAACUGAUUAGAUUAGAGCUUGGAUUUUAUUGCUUACGGAUGAAAUUGUAGGUUGCAGUUUCUUCAGCCGCAUUGAACCAAACUGAUAACUGGUAGUGGUACCUGUUUGGGGCUGCAAAUAGCUCACAAGAGCAUAUUAAAGCUGCUGUUAGCAUAUUCGGAGGAGAUGUGUUUUGAGUUUUAAUGGUCAAAUAGUUGUCUAUUUGGAAUUAAAAUUGGCGAGAGCAUAGAAAAAGAUGAACAUGUGUAUGUAACUG